rnacentral:rRNA from 1 species
AGUGAACGCUGGCGGUAGGCCUAACACAUGCAAGUCGAACGGCAGCACAGUAAGAGCUUGCUCUUACGGGUGGCGAGUGGCGGACGGGUGAGGAAUACAUCGGAAUCUACUUUUUCGUGGGGGAUAACGUAGGGAAACUUACGCUAAUACCGCAUAUGACCUACGGGUGAAAGCAGGGGAUCAUCGCACCUUGCCCGAUUGAUUGAGCCGAUGUCGGAUUAGCUAGUUGGCAGGGUAAAGGCCCACCAAGGCGACGAACCGUAGCUGGUCUGAGAGGAUGAUCAGCCACACUGGAACUGAGACACGGUCCAGACUCCUACGGGAGGCAGCAGUAGGGAAUAUUGGACAAUGGGCGCAAGCCUGAUCGAGCCAUGCCGCGUGGGUGAAGAAGGUCUUCGGGUUGUAAAACCCUUUUGUUGGGGAAGAAAAACAGCAGGAUAAAACCCCGCUGUUCUGACGGUACCCAAUGAAAAAGCACCGGCUAACUUCGUG